rnacentral:rRNA from 1 species
CCUACGGGAGGCAGCAGUGGGGAAUAUUGCACAAUGGGGGAAACCCUGAUGCAGCAACGCCGCGUGAGUGAGGAAGUAUUUCGGUAUGUAAAGCUCUAUCAGCAGGGAAUAGAAAAGAAGGUACCUGAAAAAGAAGCCCCGGCUAACUACGUGCCAGCAGCCGCGGUAAUACGUAGGGGGCAAGCGUUAUCCGGAUUUACUGGGUGUAAAGGGAGCGUAGACGGAAAGGCAAGUCAGAAGUGAAAGCCCAAGGCUCAACCAUGGGACUGCUUUUGAAACUGUCAAACUAGAGUACAGGAGGGGCAGGCGGAAUUCCUGGUGUAGCGGUGAAAUGCGUAGAUAUCAGGAGGAACACCGGCGGCGAAGGCGGCCUGCUGGACUGAAACUGACGUUGAGGCUCGAAAGCGUGGGGAGCAAACAGGAUUAGAUACCCGGGUAGUC